rnacentral:rRNA from 1 species
CCUACGGGCGGCUGCAGUGAGGAAUAUUGGUCAAUGGACGAGAGUCUGAACCAGCCAAGUAGCGUGAAGGAUGACUGCCCUAUGGGUUGUAAACUUCUUUUAUAUGGGAAUAAAACGUUCCACGUGUGGGAUUUUGUAUGUACCAUAUGAAUAAGGAUCGGCUAACUCCGUGCCAGCAGCCGCGGUAAUACGGAGGAUACGAGCGUUAUCCGGAUUUAUUGGGUUUAAAGGGAGCGUAGGUGGAUUGUUAAGUCAGUUGUGAAAGUUUGCGGCUCAACCGUAAAAUUGCAGUUGAAACUGGCAGUCUUGAGUACAGUAGAGGUGGGCGGAAUUCGUGGUGUAGCGGUGAAAUGCUUAGAUAUCACGAAGAACUCCGAUUGCGAAGGCAGUUCACUGGACUGCAACUGACACUGAGGCUCGAAAGUGUGGGUAUCAAACAGGAUUAGAUACCCUAGUAGUC